rnacentral:rRNA from 1 species
UACGAAGGGGGCUAGCGUUGCUCGGAAUCACUGGGCGUAAAGGGUGCGUAGGCGGGGCUUUAAGUCAGGGGUGAAAUCCUGGAGCUCAACUCCAGAACUGCCUUUGAUACUGAAGAUCUUGAGUCCGGGAGAGGUGAGUGGAACUGCGAGUGUAGAGGUGAAAUUCGUAGAUAUUCGCAAGAACACCAGUGGCGAAGGCGGCCCACUGGCCCGGUACUGACGCUGAGGCACGAAAGCGUGGGGAGCAAACAGG